UUCUUUUCAAAACCUCUUCUGCAGUGCUCAGUGGACAGGGCCAUUUGUUUGGCCUUAUUCAGACGCCGUAGACCGUGGCAACAAAGAGCGCUUUCAGUGCACCUCACUGUAAAAGCAUGUGAAAGAGAAAAGCAGGGCAGGGGAAAGAGAAGAAAGGCAUAAAAAAGAAGAAAACAACUUGAAAGAGACAGGAAGGAAUUGUUAAAUUUAGAUGCAGCAUGUAUGGUUGGAGAGAAUACAUAGUGUUUUUCAAACCACUGGGAAGGAUGGAGUAUGACCUGCAUGAAAUAUGGAUUCUCCCAGUGGUCCCACACAGACAGUCCACCGCACCCUGUUGGGCCGUAUCCAGGGAGACGGUGAGUCUUGGCGACGGCCCUGCCGGCCGAGCGUGCAGGACAGGAAAUGGUUGGAGCAGCAGUGUGUUGAUUCCGGCUCCACAUCCUCCCUGACAGCAGACUACAUGAUACACACAAUAGACGCAGACGCUGAUAACCACACACCCAACUACAGCUAUUAUUCACUCCAGACGCACUGUCUCAAAUGAAACGCAACCAUCUACUGAAUCUCAACUGCCACAGUUCAAUCCAAUUAGACAGAGGAUAAAUCAUGUGGCUUUAGAAGACUCAAAAUAUAACUUUCAUGGUACUUUUUGUAAUCAUAGCCACAUAUGAGGAAAACUUACUGUAUUUCUUUUUUUUUUUUACAUUGUAAAUAAAGAUUAUUGAAGUAUAUUUAACAAGAAAAUACUGUUUCAGUUUUUCUGCUUUACAAUUUCACAUUUAACACAAUGUGUUACUUGCUGUUUCUUUGUAAUUGUUUGAAACAUUAACUAUACAUUUCUGAGUGAAAAUUGAUUAUUGAUUGGUUGGUUGGUUGAUUGAUUUAUUCAGUGCAGGAUAUACAGGAUAAUCAGUGAAAAAUAAAAUACUGAGUAGAAUUUUUUACCCAGUUUUUUUUUUUUUUUUUUUUUAUGAAAUAAUGGAACCAAAUUAUAUUAAUUUUUGUUAUAAUAAUGAUUUUGAAACUGUUGUAUUCUUCCUCUGAUGUAGAAUAUAUAAGAUUUAGAGGCAAUAUAAGAUUAAUUUAAGAUUUAGAGCCAUUAUCAUCUUAUUUUCUGUCGACUGUGCAUAUGAAUCAACAAUCAGCUUUUGAGUGCAUGAUUAAUUGACAUUAACAGGCCUUUAUAAAUGAAUAAAAAUAAAUAAAUAAAAAAUAAAAAAUCAGUAUAUGCAUGAUUACAGAUGUGGUGCAUGUCACAUCUCACAAGAAUAAACUACAUCCAAAGCAUGAAAGUAUGGACUUAAAAUAAACAGUGAGUUUGUUGCAAUAAAUGUAAAUGGCUAAUGGCAAACAUGUACAGUAGCACAAUAGCUUUGACUUUCUUUUUCUGUGUUGUGUUGAUGUUAAUAGAUCAUUUCCUCUCCUGACUGUAUCUGAAUCUCAAAAUGUGCUCUCAUGCAAACUCACGCACACUGAAAUGCGAACGUUUAUUCUUAAUGUCAACAAACAACAUAGAGGAAGGGCUUGUGUGUCAAGCGGAAUCAGAACUAGAAUAAUAGUUAAAUUCCUUACAACUACCAUUGUUAGUUUUGUGUGUCAUGCGGGUGAGAAACAAAUGUCAUGAUUUUAAUUUGGGUGAAUGGCUUCUUUAAAGGUCCUCAGGCAUAUCAACAAUUACAUCACUUCAACAUCACUUUUCAGACCUCUGAGCCAUCAGAUGUAAGGUCAGCACUUCUAUCUUGCCUCCAUCCUGGUGGUCUGGGCGGUUUACACCGAGCGGCUCCAGUCAGUCAGUCUCACUGAGAAUGACUGUAAUCCAUUCUAAACACAAAUAAACCAUCUUUUGCACCUAAAAUCAAUAUUGCCAUGUGAUUUAGACUGCUCGGCUUUGAUUCCUCCUGAGUUGUGCACAAUGCAGGUUAGAUUGGAUUUGUUUAAGCAUCAUUUCCAUUCAAAGGGCCCAGAAAGAGGAGGUGUGAGAAGGUUUGGCUGGGAUUGAGCCUUUAUUUUCUGAUUUAGACACCAUGACUGAGAUAGAGUUUCUGAACAAAUGCCGCUCCAGGAGACGAGACACAAUAGAGGAAGUCUGGUGUAAAAGGCCAUGAAAGGAUGAUUAAAGAGAUAAGAUGUGAUCUGUGGUUAAGUUCAACAGUCUGUCCCAUAGCUAGGCACUAAACAGUUUUCUGUCGUCAUGAAAAGCCUACAGAUGGUGAAGAAAGUCACAACUAUCAGAAAGUUUUCAAAAAGUGUCACUAGUCAAGUCAAGUCAAGUCAAGUCACCUUUAUUUAUAUAGCGCUUUAAACAAAAAGAUUGUGUCAAAGCAACUGAACAACAUUAAUUAGGAGAACAGUGUGUCAGUAAUGCAAAAUGACAGUUAAAGGCAGUUCAUCACUGAAUUCAGUGAUGUCAUCAUGCAGCUCAGUUCAGUUUAAAUAGUAUCUGUGCAAUAAUUUGCAAUCAAGUCAACGAUAUCACUGUAAAUGAAGUGUCCCCAACUAAGCAAGCCAUAGGUGACAGCGGCAAGGAACCAAAACUCCAUCGGUGACAGAAUGGAGAAAAAAACCUUGGGAGAAACCAGGCUCAGUCGGGGGGCCAGUUCUCCUCUGACCAGACGAAACCAGCAGUUCAAUUCCAGGCUGCAGCAAAGUCAGAUUGUGCAGAAGAAUCAUCUGUUUCCUGUGGUCUUGUCCCGGUGGUUGUCUGAGACAAGGUCUUUACAGGGGAUCUGUCUCUGGGGCUCUAGUUGUCCUGGUCUCCUCUGUCUUUCAGGGCUGUAGAGGUCCUUUCUAGGUGCUGAUCCACCAUCUGGGCUGGAUACGUACUGGAUCCGGGUGACUGCAGUGACCAUCUGAUCUGGAUACAGACUGGAUCUGGUGGCAACGGUGAUCUCGGAAUAAGAGAGAAACAGACUUAUAUGAGCGUAGAUGCCAUUCUUCUAACGAUGUAGCAAGUACAUCGGGUGUUAUGGGAAGUGUUCCCGGUUCCGGUUUACCUAAUUAAUGCAGCCUAAAAAUCCUUUAACGGAUUUGGAUAUUAGAAGUGUAUUAGUAUGUUAUGUGUAAGCCAGGAUAAAGAGAUGGGUCUUUAAUCUAGAUUUAAACUGCAAGAGUGUGUCUGCCUCCCGAACAAUGUUAGGUAGGUUAUUCCAGAGGGGUAAGGGUGAUUAUAUGAUGCCAUUUUCAUUUUGGCGAUUCAUUUACACAACAACAGCCUGAAAAUGCAAACAUUUGAAAAUGGGUUUCUAAAGUUCAGUAUAUAGGCAUGCAGAAGUUUCUUUACAAAGUGACACUGCCAACUGCUGUUUUUUGUGGAUCCGUGUGACUAUUGGAUAGUUUUAACAAUGCUGUUGUCUGUACACAAAACUUUUAAAAAACGUGACGAAUACCUUUUCCAUUUUGUAGUACAUUGUUUUCAUCAGAGAUAAUUUUUAUACCAGGGUUUUCGAUUUGGUUGUGCCAUAAUUUUAUAAACAUGGUGAUGUGGAGAAACAGCUUUAGCACUGUAAGUUAAUUAAAAUAGUUUUUCCGACAACAUU
ensembl:lncRNA